AGCGAACGCUGGCGGCGUGCCUAACACAUGCAAGUCGAACGCGAAAGGGGGGGCAACCCUCCUAGUAGAGUGGCGCACGGGUGAGUAACGCGUGGGUAAUCUGCCCUCGAAUGGGGAAUAACCUCGCGAAAGCGGGGCUAAUACCGCAUAACAUCUUCUUCUAUUCGGAGAGGGAGAUCAAAGGUGACAUCUGCAUGCAAGUUGCCGUUUGAGGAGGAGCCCGCGUCCCAUUAGCUAGUUGGUAGGGUAACGGCCUACCAAGGCUACGAUGGGUAGCCGGCCUGAGAGGGUGACCGGCCACACUGGAACUGAGACACGGUCCAGACUCCUACGGGAGGCAGCAGUGAGGAAUAUUGCGCAAUGGGCGAAAGCCUGACGCAGCGACGCCGCGUGGAGGAUGAAGGCCUUCGGGUCGUAAACUCCUGUCGAGGGGGACGAAAUGGGGCUCUGUUAAUAGCAGGGCGUCUUGACGGUACCCCUGGAGGAAGCCCCGGCUAACUCCGUGCCAGCCGCCGCCGUAAUAC
rnacentral:rRNA from 1 species